rnacentral:rRNA from 1 species
UAGGGAAUCUUCGGCAAUGGACGGAAGUCUGACCGAGCAACGCCGCGUGAGUGAAGAAGGUUUUCGGAUCGUAAAGCUCUGUUGUUAGAGAAGAACGUUGGUAGGAGUGGAAAAUCUACCAAGUGACGGUAACUAACCAGAAAGGGACGGCUAACUACGUGCCAGCAGCCGCGGUAAUACGUAGGUCCCGAGCGUUGUCCGGAUUUAUUGGGCGUAAAGCGAGCGCAGGCGGUUCUUUAAGUCUGAAGUUAAAGGCAGUGGCUUAACCAUUGUACGCUUUGGAAACUGGAGGACUUGAGUGCAGAAGAGGAGAGUGGAAUUCCAUGUGUAGCGGUAAAAUGCGUAGAUAUAUGGAGGAACACCGGUGGCGAAAGCGGCUAUCAGGUCUGUAACUGUCGCAGAGGCUCGAAAGCGUGGGGAGCAAACAGG